UGGGGAAUUUUCCGCAAUGGGCGCAAGCCUGAUCCAGCAAUGCCGCGUGAGUGAUGAAGGCCCUAGGGUUGUAAAGCUCUUUUACCCGCGAUGAUAAUGACAGUAGCGGGAGAAUAAGCUCCGGCUAACUCCGUGCCAGCAGCCGCGGUAAUACGGAGGGAGCUAGCGUUGUUCGGAAUUACUGGGCGUAAAGCGCGCGUAGGCGGCUUUUCAAGUCAGGGGUGAAAUCCCGGGGCUCAACCCCGGAACUGCCUUUGAAACUGAAUUGCUAGAAUCUUGGAGAGGCGAGUGGAAUUCCGAGUGUAGAGGUGAAAUUCGUAGAUAUUCGGAAGAACACCAGUGGCGAAGGCGACUCGCUGGACAAGUAUUGACGCUGAGGUGCGAAAGCGUGGGGAGCAAACAGGAUUAGAUACCCCCGUAGUCC
rnacentral:rRNA from 1 species